rnacentral:misc_RNA from 1 species
UUUCCGUAGGUGAACCUGCGGAAGGAUCAUUACUAACGUAUCCACGUAUAAACCAAAAGCAGUUGAAUUUUGUUCGAAAACAUAUUCGUCCGUUAGGCUGGGAAUGAGUUGAUUUGGAGAUGUUUCUAUCUAUAUGAGAGAAAAUGUACAUCUCUGGUUGACUUCGGGCCUUCACGGGCUUACCCUACCUAGUUCGCGAAUUAAAAUAUAUCAAAAACAUUAAACUCAUAUUUUAACCCAUUUCACCCUAUUCUUUUAAAUGAACUUAACCUGAAUUCAUUAGAAAUAAUGAGUUUGAAAAAAUACGAAAUUAAGAACAACUCUUAACAACGGAUAUCUUGGCUCUC